UUGGACGGCCAUAGUAAUUUGGUUACACCUGUUCCCAUUCCGAACACAGAAGUUAAGCUUAUUAUGUUUGUGCCUGUACUGUCUAAUGAUGGGAACGUGCAAAGCUGUCCUUU
rnacentral:rRNA from 1 species